AGUGAACGCUGGCGGUAGGCCUAACACAUGCAAGUCGAACGGCAGCACAGUAAGAGCUUGCUCUUACGGGUGGCGAGUGGCGGACGGGUGAGGAAUACAUCGGAAUCUACUUUUUCGUGGGGGAUAACGUAGGGAAACUUACGCUAAUACCGCAUACGACCUACGGGUGAAAGCAGGGGAUCUUCGGACCUUGCGCGAUUGAAUGAGCCGAUGUCGGAUUAGCUAGUUGGCGGGGUAAAGGCCCACCAAGGCGACGAUCCGUAGCUGGUCUGAGAGGAUGAUCAGCCACACUGGAACUGAGACACGGUCCAGACUCCUACGGGAGGCAGCAGUGGGGAAUAUUGGACAAUGGGCGCAAGCCUGAUCCAGCCAUACCGCGUGGGUGAAGAAGGCCUUCGGGUUGUAAAGCCCUUUUGGUUGGAAAGAAAAGCAGCAGGUUAAUACCCCGCUGUCCUGACGGUACCCAAAGAAUAAGCACCGGCUAACUUCGUG
rnacentral:rRNA from 1 species